rnacentral:lncRNA from 1 species
UUACGUAAUUUAAGUUUUCUAUUUCUAGCAGGCUAGCAGCCAUGAAAAGUAAAAUAACUAACCAAUAACUUAGUGUCGCCAGAAAAUGACGAGUUAUAUUAGAUAUGAAUAUAUAAAAACAAAGAAACAAGAUAAUACAAUUUUAAGAACACACAGAUUGGAGGAGCUGUGGAGACAAAAGCAAAGGUCGUGAACUGGUGCAUGUGAGCACUAAAAGAGAUGUUACCAUCACUGCCCAUUGACAAAUAUAGACCCAAUCACAUGUCUCAUCCGUUUUUACAUGCACACAGCACAAACACACACAUACAUUCACUAUAU